UACCAGCACCCCGAGUGGUCGGGACGAUUAUUGGGCCUAAAGCAUCCGUAGCCGGUUUUACAAGUCCUCCGUUAAAUCCAGCUGCUUAACAGAUGGGCUGUGGAGGAUACUAUAAGACUAGGAGGCAGGAGAGGCAAGCGGUACUCAGUGGGUAGGGGUAAAAUCCGUUGAUCCAUUGAAGACCACCAGUGGCGAAGGCGGCUUGCCAGAAUGCGCUCGACGGUGAGGGAUGAAAGCUGGGGGAGCAAACCGGG
rnacentral:rRNA from 1 species